rnacentral:tRNA from 1 species
GGCCGCGUAGGGCAGAGGUUAGCCUGUCCGCCUAUGACGCUGAACACCUGGGUUCGAAUCCUGGCGAGAACA